GUGAUUUUUGCAGGGUAUAUGCUGAUCUGUUAUAUGCAACUAUUGAUUAUUCUUGCAAAAUUAAAAUAUUUCAUAUUUUCAUAUAUAUUUGUAUAUUGUAACAGAUAUAACAGGUCUUGAUAUCAUACUUUGCUCACCUCCAAAAUGUGAUGCACCCUGUCACAUUCAAACUAAUAAUGUUCCUGGUUCUUGUCCUGAAUGUGUUUGUCCCGAUAUAACAGAUCAAAGUUUCAAGCACUGUGCAACUCGAAAAUGCAAUCCUCUGUGUCAUGUCCAAACUGAUGUUGCUCCCGGUGAAUGCCCCAGAUGUGUUUGUCCUGAUAUAACAGAUCCUAAUUUCAAGCAUUGUUCACCACCAAGAUGUGAUGCACCUUGUCAUGUCCAAACUGAUGUUGCUCCUGGUGAAUGUCCAGGAUGUGUUUGUCCUGUAGGUGGUUUGAUGACAGAUCCUAAUUUCAAACAUUGUUCAUCUCCAAACUGCAAUUCUCCAUGUCAUAUUCAAAAUGAUGUUGCUCCCGGAUUGUGUCCAGGAUGUGUUUGUCCUGGUAU